GAGAAUUAGGGACUAGGAAGAACUCUGCCCUCAUCUAACCCUAACAUCACAAAUCCAUCAAAUUAAAAGGGAAAUUGAAGGCUAGUUGAAUGCAUGAACUAAGAAUGGUGAUCACCUAAGUAUUUCCUACAUCAAGCACGAAGAAGGAAGAAGGCGUAAGUCACUCGAAGGCACAAGCAUCUCAAGAUCGCGGUAAAUCCCUUGCUUAAUUGCGGCGCACCCGGACUGAACACACACAAUGUAGACUUUUUUACACGCUUCCGGUUCAAGUGGUUUAUUAUGUAUGGGUCAAAGUUUUCAUUUUGUGAUAUGGUGUCAAACUUAUGUUUAGUAUGUUAGUAUGUAGUUUGGAUUUCUAAACCUUUUAGUAUGUUGGACAAAAUGUUUAUGGUGAACCUUAUAUGGUCACCACUUUGCUAUUUCUGAAAGAUGUUGUAGAACUUUAUUAAAUUGAUAAUGUUAAAAGCAGGUGGAAAAGUUCU